rnacentral:rRNA from 1 species
AAUGGGCGCAAGCCUGAUGCAGCGACGCCGCGUGAGGGAUGACGGCUUUCGGGUUGUAAACCUCUUUCGCUACCGAACAAGGCUCCAUAUUGGUGGGGUUGAGGGUAGGUGGAUAAGAAGCGCCGGCUAACUACGUGCCAGCAGCCGCGGUAAUACGUAGGGCGCGAGCGUUGUCCGGAAUUAUUGGGCGUAAAGAGCUCGUAGGCGGCUUGUCGCGUCUGCUGUGAAAACGCGGGGCUUAACUCCGCGCGUGCAGUGGGUACGGGCAGGCUAGAGUGUGGUAGGGGUGACUGGAAUUCCUGGUGUAGCGGUGGAAUGCGCAGAUAUCAGGAGGAACACCGAUGGCGAAGGCAGGUCACUGGGCCAUUACUGACGCUGAGGAGCGAAAGCAUGGGGAGCGAA